UGGGGAAUAUUGCACAAUGGGUGAAAGCCUGAUGCAGCAACGCCGCGUGAGUGAUGAAGGCCUUCGGGUUGUAAAGCUCUGUCUUCUGGGACGAUAAUGACGGUACCAGAGGAGGAAGCCACGGCUAACUACGUGCCAGCAGCCGCGGUAAUACGUAGGUGGCAAGCGUUGUCCGGAUUUACUGGGCGUAAAGGAUGCGUAGGCGGAUACUUAAGUCAGAUGUGAAAAUCCCGGGCUUAACUUGGGAACUGCAUUUGAAACUGGGUAUCUAGAGAGCGGAAGAGNAAAGUGGAAUUCCUAGUGUAGCGGUGAAAUGCGUAGAGAUUAGGAAGAACACCAGUGGCGAAGGCGACUUUCUGGACCGUAACUGACGCUGAGGCAUGAAAGCGUGGGGAG
rnacentral:rRNA from 1 species